AUUAAGUUCAUAUGAAGAUGAGGUUAAAUCAAUGGAUUAUUUUGAUAAAUGCACGAAUGGGUCGAAUAAUUCAUAGAUGAAUAACAAGCCGAAUACGUAUAAGUUAAGGAAUUCCUUAACUCGGAUGUUGGACUUCAAGAUCACGUGAUAGAAUAUUAAAUUACAAUCAUAUAGGAAGAAACGUGACGCAAAACGGACGAAAAAUGAGAGAGUUAUGUCCGUUUCAGUAAGGAUUAAUGGCUAGGAAAAGUGCAGAGUUGACACGGCCGGGUGGUGAACUGACACGGCCGGGUGAAGGUUCUGUCAAAAAUAUUAUUUAUGUGAUUUAUGCGCCGUAGGCUUCGGUAUAUUAUCCGUGAACUACGACGGGCCUCCCAAACAUGAUUUCGAGUGUUUCCUUGACGAUUAUAAGUUGUAAACCCAAGUCUAAGCCUCAUGUAAUUUAUAUAAGAGUGUGAUAGAUGUAUGUAAUGAAGUUGGACAUGUAUUACAUGUAAAUGUAUACAAAAAUACGUACGGAACACGUAGGUAUGAAUACAUGAUUGUAGGUAUGAUUAAUUGUAUAUUAGGUAUGUAGAUGUGUAUGAUUGUAAGUUUGUAUGUGUGCAAGUAUGUGCGAAUGCAUGAUUCGGAUGCAUUUGAGAAUUAGCGUUACUAAUAAUGCCCUUGGGUUUGGAAUAUAAGUUGAUUGGAUGCAUUUAAAUGGUUAACGUCCUUUUUAUGAAGAUGUAGUAAAUGAAUAUGUUGAGAUUACGGGUUUGGCUAACCAAGUUAUUAUUGAGUAUGUUUGAAAGUGCAGGUGAUGAAUGUCGGACUUUCGAAGUGUUGAUAUAAUAAUGAAACGGUUGAAUGUUGAAAGGAUAAUUGGACUGAAGUAACUUAUGCGGUAAAUCCUCAAUUUUGGCGACUUGGAGAAUCGGAGCGAGCGCGUGUUCGUGUUAUGCGAUACCAAACGCUUCCGCUAGUUUGUUCAAAUGUUUUUGACCCAAAAUUUGUUGUAUUGGUUUUUAGUAGUAUCUUGUUGAACAAAUUGUAGAAUUGUAUCUAGUUUGUUUAUGUUUAAAACAGGGGUAUGCUCGUUUUAUGGACGGGUCAUGCCCGAUUUUUUGUUAAAUUAUAGUUUGAUAAUAUCACAUUUAGGAAGGUGAAAUUUUGGGCGUAA